CCUCCUCUUCCUGCCCUAGAUCGCCGACAGAGAGGUCUCGUCCACUGCGAUUGAGUUCUUGCUGAGUUACCGGAGAUAGGACGUUGGAGCUCGAAGGGUACCAAUCAUCUCCGGCAGAGUAGGCAUCCUGGUGGUUGUUUCUUGCGAGCGAUCGAGGUGAUCCGGCGGAGCUAGGGCACGGCAGCGGGGGAAUUGGUUCGCAUCUCUCUCGGUAGAUUGAGCUCUCUCAGUUCUUCUCCUCUAUCUGUUCACUGGAGUUUGACUUGCAACUCCAAAAUUGCUGGAUCGAAGUGGGCGACAUCACCAGGGAGAGUUUAAUUGAGAGGAAGCAUUGGACCAGUAUGUGGUGGAUCUUCCCAGUUGCCGGUCACUGCCAAGUCUAUUUCUUGGAGUUGUGGAGGUCUCGGCUGAAGAGUUAGGGAUCUGUUUGAGCUUAUGGCAGUGGGUUGUAGGGUUGUUAGCUACUGGUUUGCUGCCAUCCCUCAAGGACUUGGAUUCGGGACGAGUGUCUCGACAUGGGAUUUUCAGAUGACGAUCGACAGAUUUAAGGCGGGU